CUCGCCGUGCGCUCGUCAUUCAGAUCGGUGGACUGCCUCGUGUAUCGAUCUAGACUACUGCUGAUGGAGAGCAUGAAAUCAACUCGUACUGCCAUCGGUGUCGUCUUCGUCUUCUGUUGUAUCUCUGCUUCGAUUUGGCAGCUGAAUGCACAAGAAGACGUCGUAAUUGCUCCCGAGGAAGAUGUAGGAAACGAAAUUCCUGACAAGUGCUUGUGCCAUGACGUUUGUAUUGGGGCACCAGGACGCGACGGACAAAAUGG